AAUGAACGCUGGCGGCAGGCCUAACACAUGCAAGUCGAGCGGAGCGGCGGACGGGUGAGUAAUGCCUAGGAAUCUGCCUGGUAGUGGGGGAUAACGUCCGGUAACGGGCGCUAAUACCGAAUACUAUCAGAUGAGCCUAGUGCGGAUUAGCUAGUUGGUUGGUGAAAGGCCUACCAAGGCGACGAUCCGUAAUUGGUCUGAGAGGAUGAUCAGUCAAACUGGAACUUAGAUCGGGUCCAUACGACUACGGGAGGCAGAAGUGGGGAAGAUUGGACAAUGGGCGAAAUCCUGAUCCAGCCAUGCCGCGGGUGUGAAGAAGGUGUUCGGAUUGUAAAGCACUUAAAGUUGGGAGGCGUUACCAAUAGAGUAAGCACCGGCUAACUUCGUGCCAGCAGCCGCAGUAAUUC
rnacentral:rRNA from 1 species